rnacentral:lncRNA from 1 species
CUAGUGUCCUCGCGAAGGGUGCGGAGCACCCUAACUCGCACUCGCACUCGCACUCGCACACGCUCGCGCGCGCGCGCGUGGCGUGGGCGAUGAGGCGCAAUGUGGCGCUUUGAUGGCGCACUUUGCACUUCGCACGCUCGCAUCGCCGCUUGAGAGCCGCCUUUGUAUUUUUGACCGCGCGCGCGUGGUAAAGCACAAGGGUUGCAAGGACCAAGUGGUAGGUGAUGCGGCGCAUGACGUGGCAGUCAUGCGCAUGCGCGCGCGGGUACACGAGGCGCGCGCAUGGUGCAUGGUCCUGCUGUGUCGUGCGUGGCGCACCAGAGUGAGCCAAUGCGGCGCGACUGUGUGGCGCGCACGUAUAGGCUCACAGGUGACGUGGCGCACGCCGCAUGGCAGUGAGCCAAGAGGCCGCACGCCGCAUGGCAGUGAGCCACAAAGCCGCACCGCGCAUGAGCGCGCAUGGACAUGGGCCAGUGUGGCGCACGCCGCAUGGCAGUGAGCCAAGAUGCCGCACCGCGCAUGGGCGCGCGACGCGCGCAGAAGCUUCCAGCAUUGAAUGACUAGGCAGUUUCAGUCCAGCUUCGUAACUGACGAG